UGGAAUUGGGUGCUUCGGAAGA
rnacentral:miRNA from 1 species